GAUUUUGCAGAAUAGGGCGAUUCGAUGGCACCGACUUCAUACUGCCGCGUCCUGCCGCGCCGCGCAAUGGCGAGAAGAUCUGCAACCGACCAACCGACCACGAAACAAUCGGAAUAAAAAGGAAAAAAAAAUGAAGUUUGAUCGAAGAAGGGGAACGAUAUCAGAAUCCGGAGGUGGCAAGCUGAGGGAUUAGAGGAGGAUAAAGAGUCAAGCAUGGAAGGAAUCGAGCAAAUCGAAUUCUCCUCCUCCAUCAAAGGAGAAACAUCGCAGGAUGGCGGGUGGUGCUCUCUUUCUGAUUCUGUCCUGGUCAAUGCAAGCCGAGAAGGUCUAGAAACAACCCCUUUUUCUCCCCAACCGCUCUUCCUUCCCCAUCCUCCCUUCUCUAUUUCUACCUUUCUCGUCUUUAUCGCCUCUUCUUUGCCAAUCAAUUCAAUUCCUUCUUCUUUGCUGCUUGUUUCCUUUUUUCUUGGUCCUGUGGGUGGAGGUCAGGAUGACGGUGAAGAAGACGAGGAGGGUUGCCGAGGAGCCCUCGCCAUCCCCUUCGUGCGCCCCUUAUAGAGAUGAUGCUAGGAAAAGAAUUAGAUUCCAAUCGCUCUCGCAAGAUUAUACGGAUUUUCUUGAGGAAACUGAAGAAAAGAAGAGGAGAUUGCUGGAGGCAAGACUAAGGAAACGUAAACUCUUGGCUGAAGUCCGAUUUUUGAGAAGAAAACUUGAUACCUCACUUGCAAACCCGUAUCAGCAAGUUAGAUUGAAGGACCCAUCAAGUACAAUUCCAGUGAUCAAACCUCCUACAGAAAAGAAACUCAAAGUAUCUGGAGCUGCACGUACAAGUAACUACAUUAUAGAUAACUUGUACGCAAAUGCAUCUCAGUAUCAGUUUAAAAAGAUGUUUCAGAAAAAGCCAACCAAAUCUCUUUGUGUUGCACAAUCUUCGGGUUUUAGGAAGGCCACCAUCAAAACAUGAUGACAAUGGAAGUUACAAAUGCUAGCACUUCUGCAACUCUAGGUGCGAAUGAAGUAUCGUUUAAGAAUGGGGAGGAACUGAACAAGUUUCAGUUGGAGCAGUAUUACAUACAAAUGGAGAGACUCAAUGGAGUGCCUAUGAUUGGAGGAGGCUCAAAUGAUAAGUUAGCGAGUUGCAGACAUCUUGGAAACAACUCAAAGAAGAGCGGUAAGAGAAAACUCUCAUGGCGAGACCCACCGACCGAAUAAAUCGGGAAGCAAUUACGGCAGACAGCAAAGGACCUUCAGCUUCUAGCAAGACUUGUUCCACCUGAUUAAUUUUUGGGUGUCAUCAGAUAUUGUCAUGGUCCUUCCUUCAAUUUAUUUCAAUGCAAGGAACAUGCUUGAUCUUGUGAUAAUCUUCUCCAGUAUCCUUGUUGACCCUUCUCUCUAUCAUUUCCAUUCCCCUUAUUUCAAUUUGUUUAAGCUCAGUCAAUCUUACAAGUCCCUCUGGUAGCAUUCUCAAAUUUAUGCAGUCCCAAAGUCUUAGUUCCCGAAGGAGAGGCAUUGCUCCCUCUCCCACUUCCCACUGCUCCAAGGUGUUCAAAUCACCCAGUAUGAUCUCUUGGAGACGAGGAAAACCUCCCUUUUGAAACACCAAAACUCUUCCUACAAAUGCAUCAAGACACACAAGAA